UCCGAAGCAGCGAAGGAGCCACUUCCAGGCCAGCGGAGCCGCUUGCAGACCGCUCGGGGCACACUGCGGGAGUGGAGGACCUGUGGGACCGUAAGACCUGGUCCCAGGGGUGGAGUGGUGGAGGAGGUCACGGAGAGUUCGUGACCUCCGGUUGACCCUAUCCUCCGCAGGUAGCUCCGCCCACUCUGCCCACAGUGGGAGCCAUUUUCGAGGCGGUGGACUUGAGCGAGCCGGGCGCUGUUGAGACCCUCUGCACCGUCAAGCGACUGAGCCUCUGUGAGACAUCUCUCUCUACAAACUUCUACGAUUGCGGCCACCGGGUGCGGAUAUCUGCCUGUGGCGCCGGAGACGCUGCCGCCUGCCAGCCCGAGUGCCCGCGCGUGGGGCUCCUGCCCCUCCCCUCCGCGCCCUGCACCGCGCUCCCAUUUUGGAGGAUGAGAAUGAAGAUGGUGACUUCCUGAUCUCCAAUACAGUGGAGCCGAGAGCUUGGGGCCCCAUUCCUCAGUGCCUCCUCGGAGAAAAGCAGUCAGUCACUCCUGUCUCCCUGGUGUCCGGCCACACUCCAAGCUCACCUGGCCUGUGACUGAGAAUCUAUCUCUGGUGCAUGGCCCUAUUUGG
rnacentral:lncRNA from 1 species